GGGCUGGUAGCUCAGUCGGUAGAGCAGUGGACUUUUAAUCCAUUGGUCGCGAGUUCGAGUCUCGCCCAGCCCA
rfam:Advenella kashmirensis WT001, complete genome.